rfam:Gossypium arboreum cultivar AKA8401 contig_84687_1, whole genome shotgun sequence.
GACAGUUUGGGCGAGUGGUCUAAGGCACCAGAUUUAGGCUUUGGUUCGAAAGGACGUGGGUACAAAUCCCGCAACCGUUA